CUUCAGCGACCCCAGCCACAGCGGCGUGCCGGGCUGCCGCCCCUGCCCGUAGGUCGCGAGCAGCGCGUCGGCCUC
rnacentral:antisense_RNA from 1 species